rnacentral:rRNA from 1 species
GACGAACCGUGCGAACGUUGUUCGGAAUCACUGGGCUUAAAGGGCGCGUAGGCGGGCUAACAAGUCUGGGGUGAAAUGCCGCGGCUCAACCGUGGAACUGCCUCAGAUACUGUCGGCCUCGAGGAAGGUAGGGGCAUGCGGAACUGUAGGUGGAGCGGUGAAAUGCGUUGAUAUCUACAGGAACUCCGGUGGCGAAAGCGGCGUGCUGGACCUUUUCUGACGCUGAGGCGCGAAAGCUAGGGGAGCAAACGGGG